rnacentral:rRNA from 1 species
AUGGCUCGCAAGAAGGUGGCUCGCAAGGCGACCCUCCAGUACAUCCCCAAUGACUCGACCCGGCGCAAUAGAUUCAAGAAGCGCCUCAAGGGCCUGAUGAAGAAGGCGGACGAACUAGCCGUCCUGUGCGAUGCCAAGACCUGCGUAUUGGUGUACGAUGAGGGCAAGGCAGCGCCGAAGGUGUUCCCUUCCCAGGCCGAGGCGGUGGGUAUCCUGAAUCAAUUCAAAAGCAUGCCGGAGUUGGGGCGCUGCAAGGAGGUGAUGAACCAGAAGCGUUUCAUUAGCAAGCGCAUUGACAAGCUCCGGGAACAGGUCGACAGGACCCGUCGCGAGUGCGAGGACGGCGAGAUCAGGUCCCUCCUUCACAAAACCAUGCAUGGCGACCUCUCGGGCCUCGUUGGCCUCAACAUCGAGGAGCUCACCAAAGUUGGCUACAAGGUGGACGUGCUUCUCAAGAGCAUUAGCGAACGCAUGGCAAAAAUCCAUUCUCAGGCGCCGCCGCCAGCUCCAUGUGUCGCCACUGGCAGCAUAGACAUGGGGUCUCCCGCGUUGUAUCCGGCACCACCUCAGCAGGAGAGCCGACUUGACAUGGUGAGCUCCGGAGGGGACCUCGACACCCUGGUCUAUGGUGGCUACGCCAGCGCCAACUUCUCUAGCAGUGGUAUGAUGAUGCAGAUGCAGUCCAUUGAUAUGGGGUUCGGUUCGAGUCCUUUCCCUCCCAUGUAA